UACGAAGGGAGCUAGCGUUGUUCGGAAUUACUGGGCGUAAAGGGCGCGUAGGCGGCUUCGCUAGUUGGGCGUGAAAUGCCUGGGCUUAACCCAGGAAUUGCGCCCAAUACUUCGAGGCUCGAGUGUGGGAGAGGAUAGUGGAAUUCCCAGUGUAGAGGUGAAAUUCGUAGAUAUCAGGAAGAACACCCGUGGCGAAGGCGGCUCUCUGGGACGGUACUGACGCUGAGACGCGAAAGCGUGGGGAGCGAACAGG
rnacentral:rRNA from 1 species